GUCGGGAUAGCUAGUUGGUAGAGCAGAG
rnacentral:tRNA from 1 species